rnacentral:lncRNA from 1 species
UUUGAUUCGUGUGUUGAGAAUUUGACGUUUUGCUCUGUGAAGUGGCGAGACGAGAGACUUCACUUGUGGUUGGGGAUUUGGUUAGUAUGGAUGGCGUGUGAGGAUCAAAUUUGGAGGUUAGACCUCGUGUUAGUAAAAAUGUGUGACUUUUGAAUUAUGGAUCACCAAACCUAUCUAGGAGUGUUUGGAAAUAAAGAAGGUAUUAAUCCAAUGGGGUUUACAGCAUAACAUCAUCGUAUCGCACGCCAUCCAUGUGAAAUCUUAAAAAACACCUCGAAACACCAAGAGGCCAAUCUCCAACCAUAAGUCACUGGGAGUAGUUACUUGGGGAACAAGCCUUUUGGGGGCAUUCCAGCUCCUUUUGGUAUUAGCACUUGGACCUACAGGAGGCAUGAUUUUUGCACUAUCCUAGUGCUCAUUUCCGGGGAUGCGCCAGCAAUCUAUUUAGGAGUCGUUCGGGUUUGUUUGGGAACUACCAGUGGGUGACAUUAGUAACUAUUGUGUGUUUAUCUCCUAUGUUUUAUUUUAAUGCACUGUUUAUUAAUUUUGUUUCAGAUUUAGUUUACCUAUUUAUAUAACAUAUUUGUAUAUUAUGGUAUUAAGUUCCCAAACUCAUGUAUCAUUUUGCGGUACUGUACGUUGAGCUCUGCGUAUUUGCCCAAAA